UACAGAGGGGGCAAGCGUUGUUCGGAAUUACUGGGCGUAAAGGGCGCGUAGGCGGCCUUCUAAGUCGAACGUGAAAUCCCUGGGCUCAACCCAGGAACUGCGUCCGAUACUGGGAGGCUUGAAUCCGGGAGAGGGAUGUGGAAUUCCAGGUGUAGCGGUGAAAUGCGUAGAUAUCUGGAGGAACACCGGUGGCGAAGGCGGCAUCCUGGACCGGUAUUGACGCUGAUGCGCGAAAGCAUGGGGAGCGAACAGGA
rnacentral:rRNA from 1 species